GUCUCCAUUGUGCAAUUGGUCAGCACAUUCAGCUGUUAACUGAAAGGUUGAUGGUUCGAACCCACCUGGGGACG